rnacentral:rRNA from 1 species
UGUCUCAAAGAUUAARCCAUGCAUGUCUCAGUACAAGCCGAAAAUAAGGUGAAACCGCGAAAGGCUCAUUAAAUCAGUUAUGGUUCCUUAGAUCGUACCCACAUUUACUUGGAUAACUGUGGUAAUUCUAGAGCUAAUACAUGCAAACAGAGUUCCGACCGGUGACGGGAGGAAUGCUUUUAUUAGAUCAAAACCAAUCGGCAAUGGUGACUCUGAAUAACUUUUGGCUGAUCGCACGGUCCAGCACCGGCGACGCAUCUUUCAAAUGUCUGCCUUAUCAACUGUCGAUGGUAGGUUCUGCGCCUACCAUGGUUGUAACGGGUAACGGGGAAUCAGGGUUCGAUUCCGGAGAGGGAGCCUGAGAAACGGCUACCACAUCCAAGGAAGGCAGCAGGCGCGCAAAUUACCCACUCCCGGCACGGGGAGGUAGUGACGAAAAAUAACGAUACGGGACUCAUCCGAGGCCCCGUAAUCGGAAUGAGUACACUUUAAAUCCUUUCACGAGGACAAUUGGAGGGCAAGUCUGGUGCCAGCAGCCGCGGUAAUUCCAGCUCCAAUAGCGUA